CAGAGGUCUCAAGCGUUGUUCGGAUUCAUUGGGCGUAAAGGGUGCGUAGGUGGCGUUAUAAGUCAGGUGUGAAAUCUCGGGGCUCAACCCCGAAACUGCACUUGAUACUGUAAUGCUCGAGUACUGGAGAGGAGAUUGGAAUUUACGGUGUAGCAGUGAAAUGCGUAGAUAUCGUAAGGAAGACCAGUGGCGAAGGCGAAUCUCUGGACAGUUACUGACACUGAGGCACGAAGGCCAGGGGAGCAAACGGGAUUAGAUACCCCGGUAGUCCUGGCAGUAAACGGUGCGCGUUUGGUGUGGGAGGAUUCGACCCUUCUGUGCCGGAGCUAACGCGUUAAACGCGCCGCCUGGGGAGUACGGUCGCAAGAUUA
rnacentral:rRNA from 1 species